CCACUGGCGGCGUGCUUACACAUGCAAGUCGAGCGGAAAGGCCCUUCGGGGUACUCGAGCGGCGAACGGGUGAGUAACACGUGAGCAACCUGCCCCAGGCUUUGGGAUAACCCCGGGAAACCGGGGCUAAUACCGAAUAUGACCUCCGAUCGCAUGGUUGGUGGUGGAAAGUUUUUCGGCUUGGGAUGGGCUCGCGGCCUAUCAGCUUGUUGGUGGGGUGAUGGCCUACCAAGGCGACGACGGGUAGCCGGCCUGAGAGGGCGACCGGCCACACUGGGACUGAGACACGGCCCAGACUCCUACGGGAGGCAGCAGUGGGGAAUAUUGCACAAUGGGCGGAAGCCUGAUGCAGCGACGCCGCGUGAGGGAUGACGGCCUUCGGGUUGUAAACCUCUUUCAGCAGGGACGAAGCGUAAGUGACGGUACCUGCAGAAGAAGCGCCGGCCAACUACGUGCCAGCAGCCGCGGUAAGACGUAGGGCGCGAGCGUUGUCCGGAUUUAUUGGGCGUAAAGAGCUCGUAGGCGGCUUGUCGCGUCGACUGUGAAAACCCGCAGCUCAACUGCGGGCCUGCAGUCGAUACGGGCAGGCUAGAGUUCGGUAGGGGAGACUGGAAUUCCUGGUGUAGCGGUGAAAUGCGCAGAUAUCAGGAGGAACACCGGUGGCGAAGGCGGGUCUCUGGGCCGAUACUGACGCUGAGGAGCGAAAGCGUGGGGAGCGAACAGGAUUAGAUACCCUGGUAGUCCACGCUGUAAACGUUGGGCGCUAGGUGUGGGGGGCCUCUCCGGUUCCCUGUGCCGCAGCUAACGCAUUAAGCGCCCCGCCUGG
rnacentral:rRNA from 1 species